GUCCAGCUGGCUCAGUCGUGAAGUGUGUGACUCUUGAUCUCAGGGUUGUGAGUUCGAGCCUCACGUUGAGCA
rnacentral:tRNA from 1 species